UACGGGGGGGGCAAGCGUUGUUCGGAAUUACUGGGCGUAAAGGGCUCGUAGGCGGCCAACUAAGUCAGACGUGAAAUCCCUCGGCUUAACCGGGGAACUGCGUCUGAUACUGGAUGGCUCGAGUUUGGGAGAGGGAUGCGGAAUUCCAGGUGUAGCGGUGAAAUGCGUAGAUAUCUGGAGGAACACCGGUGGCGAAGGCGGCAUCCUGGACCAACACUGACGCUGAUGAGCGAAAGCCAGGGGAGCCAAACGGG
rnacentral:rRNA from 1 species